UACGUAGGGGGCAAGCGUUGUCCGGAUUUAUUGGGCGUAAAGAGCGUGUAGGCGGCUAGGUAGGUCCGUUGUGAAAACUCGAGGCUCAACCUCGAGCUGUCGAUGGAAACCAUCUGGCUAGAGUCCGGAAGAGGAGAGUGGAAUUCCUGGUGUAGCGGUGAAAUGCGCAGAUAUCAGGAAGAACACCGGUGGCGAAGGCGGGUCUCUGGGCCGGAACUGACGCUAAGGAGCGAAAGCGUGGGGAGCGAACAGG
rnacentral:rRNA from 1 species